AGUGAACGCUGGCGGUAGGCCUAACACAUGCAAGUCGAACGGCAGCACAGAGGAGCUCGCUCCUUGGGUGGCGAGUGGCGGACGGGUGAGGAAUACAUCGGAAUCUACUCUGUCGUGGGGGAUAACGUAGGGAAACUUACGCCAAUACCGCAUACGACCUACGGGCGAAAGCAGGGGACCUUCUGACCUUGCGCGAUUGAAUGAGCCGGUGUCGGAUUAGCUAGUGGGCGGGGUAAAGGCGCACCAAGGCGACGAUCCGUAGCUGGUCUGAGAGGAUGAUCAGCCACACUGGAACUGUGACACGGUCCAGACUCCUACGGGAGGCAGCAGUGGGGAAUAUUGGACAAUGGGCGCAAGCCUGAUCCAGCCAUACCGCGUGGGUGAAGAAGGCCUUCGGGUUGUAAAGCCCUUUUGUUGGGAAAGAAAUCCAGCUGGCUAAUACCCGGUUGGGAUGACGGUACCCAAAGAAUAAGCACCGGCUAACUUCGUGCCAGCCGCCGCAGUAA
rnacentral:rRNA from 1 species